rnacentral:rRNA from 1 species
CAGUAGCCACGGGAACACGGAGGGUGCAAGCGUUAUCCGGAUUUAUUGGGUUUAAAGGGUCCGUAGGCGGAUCUGUAAGUCAGUGGUGAAAUCUCACAGCUUAACUGUGAAACUGCCAUUGAUACUGCAGGUCUUGAGUAAAUUUGAAGUGGCUGGAAUAAGUAGUGUAGCGGUGAAAUGCAUAGAUAUUACUUAGAACACCAAUUGCGAAGGCAGGUCACUAAGAUUUAACUGACGCUGAUGGACGAAAGCGUGGGGAGCGAACAGGAUUAGAUACCCGAGUAGUCCCUGUCUCUUAUAC